rnacentral:rRNA from 1 species
UACGUAGGUGGCAAGCGUUGUCCGGAAUUAUUGGGCGUAAGCGCGCGCAGGCGGUCCUUUAAGUCUGAUGUGAAAGCCCACGGCUCAACCGUGGAAGGUCAUUGGAAACUGGGGGGACUUGAGUGCAGAAGAGGAAAGUGGAAUUCCAAGUGUAGCGGUGAAAUGCGUAGAGAUUUGGAGGAACACCAGUGGCGAAGGCGACUUUCUGGUCUGUAACUGACGCUGAGGCGCGGAAAGCGUGGGGAGCAAACAGGG